AUUAAGGGUAAAUCCAAAUUUUUCCCUUGUGCUAUCUGAUAUUGCUCAAUUUGCCCUCCAUUAUACUUUUGGCCCAUUCAUACCCCCUUGUUGUUAGCAAUCUGUCUCGUAUUUUCCCUACCCAUUAACGAAAACUCCUUCAUAAACUGAGUGGACUCCGUGCGUCCAAAUUCUUGGAGAACAACGGUCCAACUUUUGAGUAUUGUCUAAAAUUACCCUCUGAUUGGAGCUCCACCAAGGGCCAAGGGCAAAAAGAGACUUUUUCCAGAGUGCGGGUAUGAUUGGACCAUCUAUUAUAAUACUUUUCGCAAAGUUGCUCAAUUUUGGAUAGUUCAGAGCAUGUUCGAAAGGAAAAUUAGAAAGCCAAAAAAAUUCUAUAGCCAACAAUAAAAGCUAAUAGAUUUUGAGGAAAGAAUAUAACAUUUUCAUAUUCUUUACAAAUCAUAGAAGACACAGAUUAAGGGAAAAGAGCCAAAUUCGCCCUUGUGCGAUCUGAUAUUGCUCAAUCUGUGCGCCACUAUUCUUUUGGUCCAUUCAUACUCCUUGUCAUUAGCAAAUCUGUCUUAUAUUUUCCCUAGCCAUUAACGGAACUCCAUCGCGAAAUGGGUGGACUCCACGCGUCCAAAUUCUUUGAGAACGGUCCAACUUUUGAGUAUUGACUAAAAUAACCCUCGGAUUGGAGCUCAGCUAAGGGCCAUGGGCAAAAAGAGACUUUUUCCCCGGUGAGAGAUUGGGGUCAUCAUCAUUCCCAUCAAGAAUGCAUCUGAGCCGUGAACUAAGACAAUCAACGGCUGAUAAAACAUCGGAAAACGUGAAGCAUUCAUCACUUUCGUAAACCGGGGGAUUAACCGACCUUCUU